CAGCGGCAGUGCCAUUUUGUGGGGCGUCUGCCUUGACAAAAUGGCUUUCCCCCCUGUCGUUUUGAGAGCUUUUCUUGCUUUAGAGCCAGGUUUUGCACCCCUUUGAACUACACAGGGUCUUCACCGCUGAAAUCUAACUUAAGUUGUGUGAGCAAAUCCCACUGCUGAGAGCUGCUAAUUAAGCAUAACUGAUGUGGUGAAGGAAAAGGACACGAGGAGCCUUCAAGCCCAGGAGGAUUAUGGGAAGGCGUAUCACCCCUUGGAUCAUCUUUAUGGCCCUCCUUCAGACACUAUCCAACAGGUCCAUGUCUCUCCUGAGGACUCCACAUCUAGACACAGUACUCCAGAGGGUAAGAAGCCCCCAAAGACUGCUGUAGAGGAUGUAGCAACAUUCCUCCUCUCUUCCUCCUACUUGUCACACUCCUCACAUGGAAGGAAAUGGGAUCUUGCAGCUUGUCCCCGAAGCAAAGGUGUGAGAACUUGAAAAG
ensembl:lncRNA